AAUGAUUACCCUGAACGGUGGAUCACUUGGGCUCGUGGGUCGAUGAAGAACGCAGCUAAUUGC
rnacentral:rRNA from 1 species